GGUUCCUUACUGGAGCUGCUGCCCCCGCGACCCGAUCCCGGAUAAGCGGAGGGAGAGCGCCGAGCUGUGGAAGGUCGUGUUCGGUCUCAACAACUUGGAUCAUCCCGGCGCUCACAGUCAGAGCCGCGGGGUGCGUUCCAUCAUCGUGCACCCGCGCUACAACCGGGCCGUGGUGGACUACGACAUCAGUGUGGUGCAGCUGGACUCUGAGAUCGAGGAGACGGCGUUCGUCAGACCGGUGUGUCUGCCCGACCCGGCCCAGCUGCCCCACCCCGACUCCUACUGCUACAUCACAGGGUGGGGGGCACAUGGGCAACAGGAUGCCCUUUAAGCUUCAGGAAGGGGAGGUUCGGAUCAUCUCGCUGUCUCAGUGUCAGUCGUACUUGACAUGAAGACCAUCACUCCCAGGAUGCUUUGCGCCGGUUACGAGGGCCGGGACCGUCGACUCCUGCAUGGGCGACAGCGGCGGCCCGCUGGUGUGCGAGGAGGGCAGCGGACGCUGGACGUUGUUUGGCCUGACGUCAUGGGGCAGCGUGUGCUUCAGUAAAGUGCUCGGGCCCGGCGUGUACAGCAACGUGACGCACUUCACUCCUUGGAUCCAACAGCAGAUCUACAUCCACACGUACCUGAACGACUGACACACACACACACACACACACACUCCUCUACCUGUGCCUAUAUCUAUACUGACAGCCUUCACAUGCUAACGGCUGGAUGAGCAGUCGUAUAAACUGUUACAGAUGCUAACUAGAUGGUAGAGCUGCAGACGAUGUUUUUAUUACUCUGCAGCGUUUGUUGCUCAGAAACACACAAAGAAUUUUAAUCCAUUAAAUAACUAAUGAAGUUUAACCACCGCUGGAAACUUAAAGCUUAAACUUGUACCUUUCGCAAAAGUUCUGCAGCAGAACACAAAACGUUUUGCAGAAGUAUUUCUUCCCGUCUCCUUCAGGCUCCGUGUUUCUCAACAUGUGAAAACAAAAACAUUGAGGAAACUCGCAUGUCGUACAUCCAGAACGAUGGUUUAUAAUGUCAAAUAUUUACUUUCCACAGCCAGAACUUCACAGGAAGUUCUGGCUGACGACUUUAUUUAGAGACCGUCGAAGAAAAAUUCAACUUUUCAAUUAUUUUGCGAGAAAUAAUAAUAUUAAUAUUAUUAAUAUUAUUAAUAUUAUUAAUAAUAUUGAUAAUAUUAAAUAUUAUUAAUAUUAUUAAUAAUAUUAAAUAUUAUUAAUAAUAUUAAUAAUCUAACGAGUCGUUGCAGCGACACAGCAACACUAACCGGAGCAGACACUACGACAGGUUUACGUAAAGACUUUGUUCAGUAGUCGUCACACUUUAUUUAUAACACUUUAGUUUAUGUUGCUCGUCCCUGAUUGGACAAUAAUUGUUAGUAGUUUAGUGGCAACGACACUUCCUGGUGUUUUCACCCGACGGGAGAUUUAGUUAUUAAUUAUUGUUGCAUUAAUACAAAGUGAACUGAGCUCAUUGUUGUGUGUGUUUGUGUGUGUGUGUGUGUGUGUGUGUGUGUGUGUGUGUGUGUGUGUGUGUGUGUGUGUGUUUACAUCCAACACACACACUUUAUUUCCACGACAUCCUCCGAUCGUCUGCUUUGAGUGUUUUCAUUUUCAUAAAGAUCACAACGUUCAGACGUUCUGCGCUGAAUUUCUAAAAGCUGCUAUCUUAAAACAGACCAGUUGAGGACUCAACUUCCCACAAUGCUUCACUCUAUAGUGCCUGUACUUAGACUUAGCAGUAGAAAACAAAAAAACCUUGUUACCUGUACAAUGUCGUACCGUACGUGUGUGUGAGACGGAGAGAGACGAUUCUGUUGCUUCAAACACACCAGCAACUUAUCUGGCAACUUAUCUGGCAACUUAUCUGGACAACAUUUAUCUUUAUUCACACGUUUUAAUUCAGACAUUAAAACGUCUCUCCAUCAGGACUUUA